UACAUAGGUGGCGAGCGUUAUCCGGAUUUAUUGGGCGUAAAGAGUGCACAGGUGGUUUAUCAAGUCAGGCGUUAAAGCCCGGAGCUCAACUCCGGUUCGCGUUUGAAACUGAUAGACUAGAGUAUCGGUGGGGUUAGUAGAAUUCCAUGUGUAGCGGUGGAAUGCAUAAAUAUAUGGAGGAAUACCAGUGGCGAAGGCGGCUAACUGAACGAUAACUGACACUUAAGCACGAAAGCGUGGGGAGCAAAUAGG
rnacentral:rRNA from 1 species